UUUCUUUUCCACGAACUUGCUUUGAUAUCAAACAAUAAAACAUGUUAAAUAAGGGCAUGUGAGUAUUUGAAAACAAAUUUAAGCACAGACGCACAAUAUGGAGUGCCAGAUAUGAAUGGCGAGCUCACACAGUUUGGUAAGAUUAUAGAAAUAUUACGGAACUAUGUGCAAUUUUUUUUUUUUGGGGCUCGCGCGUCAUGAUUCCGCCACAGAACCCUGAGACACUGAGUAUGAGACACACGCGCUCACUUUAGUCUGUAUCUUGAUUCGGAUUUAUUCUUUUGUGAAGAAAUGGCAAGCUGGGAUGAGUGAGAAUCCCUACGGAUUGUGCGUGAGACUGCGUGGAUAUGCGUGAUGCGGUCUACACUAGAAUAUCGAGCGGACUGGAUUUUGAACGCUCACUUGUGCACGAGUCAGACAUUUCACACCAAACUGUGCGCGCGCGUCUCUCAGUGAACAUGAGAACUGAUUAAAAGACAAAAACAGAGACGUUUUCCUUCGCACGAGGACUGUAGUAGAUUGCUCAUUGCUCGGCAGAGGUGAGAUGACAGAGGUGCAGCCGGUGUUGGACUUUGCCUCGUCAGGAAGGUCUGGACGACGCAAUGCUCUGCCGGACAUUUUAGGCUCGCCAGCAGGGGUUAACCCAUCUGACCUGCCCCUGAAAUUGACUGAGCUGUCACUCACGGCAGAUGGACCAGGAGGAGUUCAGUCACCAUCUUCAGAGGAGGCUUGUCUUCCUGCGGAGAGCUCUGAGGGAAAGGGCGAAUCUUAAACACUUCCCAGUCUCUACUAUGAGAAGCUAUGCAGUAACAGGAGUUACAGAAUAGGAGAAGAAAAAGGAGUAGGAGAAAAUAAAAAGAGAGGGAGAGUGAGGCAGGCAGGCAGAAAUCGGGAGACAUUGAGGAGGCGCAGUAGGAUGUAGCAUGCUAGCUGUGCUACUGGGAUUGGGUCUGGGUGUCAUCAUGUGCCUGCAGGAAGAUUAUUUGGGAAAGUUGAUCAUGUAACAAAGCAGAGGUAUCUAUAGGUCAGUGUGAGAAUGGGGUGUCUUAUAUGUGUAUAUGACAUUCUGUGGAAAAACGUUGAGAAAAUACGACUUUUCUUAAUGGAUGGAAGUUCUUGAAUACUAUCAGUAUCCCUAAAAAGUGCGGUCCCUUUUAGAGACUAUUAUAUAGACUCAUUUAGAGACUAUGAUAUAGACAUUAGAGUAAUUCUAGACUCUAUAGAUGCUAUAGUUGAGCAUUUGAACAAAGUGUUCUGUCUUUGUCAUUUGACAUGCUGUUGUAAAAUUUUUGGCAACGGCCAGUAGAACUCCAUUAAAGCAAUUGUUUGGCCAAGCACUUCACGGACAGUACAUGGAAUCAUUUGGAAGCUCUUGUGUACUAUUACUCUCAAUCUUUUGUCAGUAUUCACUCCGUACGUGUCGGUCCUCAGUCAUGUGACGCACUCUAUAUGUGUUACUGAUAGGAGAAAGAUCUCUUUUGGCAACUCCAGCAUUGGAUUAUCAGUUGUGAGUUCAUAUAACAUUUGAAUUUCAGGAACAAUAACUUGUUAAUAAUUGUUAAAAAUGUUUAAUAAUAAAUGGAAUAGUGCAAAAAAAACCUAGCAAUGUGAAUAAAACAUAAAACAAUACAUGGGCUUUGCUUUGAUGUGUCUCAGAAACUUGAGUCCAGGCAUCACAACAGGCGUGUUUAACACUGUAUACUCACUGUUAAUUUUAUUUCAGAUCUUAAUCUAUGUCACAAUAGUGAAACCUGUAUAUUUGUAGUAUCUUUCGAUCUUUGUACAGGAGUUAUUUGUGUAUUUGUCCACUUCGUCCUGGCCAGGGUUACAAAUGAAUUCAGAGCCAAUGGAAGGAAUACCGGAUAUAAAGCAGGAGCAUUUCCACUUUGACCAGUGUUACCUUUUUCCACAUAAAAUACACACUGAAGAUGUUAACUAAACAAAAUGAACUGUACACUUUACAUUUUAUGAUUACGUUGCCGUUUGACGAUCUGGACCAGAACAAAGGAGGCAUGUGAUCCUUCCCUGAUUUUGCAACCAGUUCUCAUGUUGGUCUUUGUAUUUGGGACAGUAAUUUUCUCAUGGGCAGGUUGCCAUUCAUGUCUGAACCCUUUUAUGUGCACAUGUAAAGUCAGGAUUCGGCAUGGAAUUAAAAUAUAACUAGAGGCUGGAUCAUUAUGUUUUACACAAUCGAAUUAACUUAAACAUAGUUCCCAACAUUUAAAUAAUUUAUAUAACAGUCCUCAUACAAGCAUGCUACCCUCCUGUUGGUGGCAGUAUCAAUAAAAUCUCUCUCACAUCUCCCACAUGUCUGUUUCUUAAAUCUAUGUAGGCUUAAUUUUAAAGUCUAUCAUUAGAUAUUCCUAUAGACAAGAGUACAUCCCAAAAAAAUAAUUCAAGGAGAGAAGGAAUUUGUAAAUAUACUUAGAAACACAUCACGCAAUUUUCUGUAUUCUGUGUCGGAAUUUUGUAAGUAACAAAUCCGCAAAUGUCCCAAAUCAAAAAAAAUCUGAUCUAGACAACUCAGUAAUCCAUGUAUGAAGAACAAGUCUGUGUUUUUUCUUUUCUUUCUGUACAUGAUUCUGCCUCGAGGUCAUAAUAAAAUGCACAAAGAUUCGAAUUAAUUUCAUUCAUAUUCGUUGAAAAAUGGAUCCUUUUGUAAGCAAACCAGUUACCAGGACUGUUUAUACAAACUGGUGCUGUUAAUAAAAUAAUUGCUUGGCUGGCAAAUAAGUCCUUGUGUUAUUAUGGCUGAAUGUGUUGAUUUGACCCAUGUACACUCCCUUCAUCACUCCCCUGUAGAUCAGUGUGAAUGUAGAAAUUGAUCUGAACAAGUAGCAGACUUUUGUAACGAUGCACAAUAUCACCCC